UGAUGAUGGUGAUGGCAAUUUCUGAGCAUACCCAUAAAUCUCUGCCAAUCUUGGUAGAGAUUCUCUCCUUAUUUCAGUCUAAAACUCAAGAUCUUACUUCUCAAGAA
rfam:Capsicum annuum cultivar Zunla-1 chromosome 3, whole genome shotgun sequence